rnacentral:rRNA from 1 species
CACGCCUUAAACGAUGAAUACUAGACGUUGGGGUUAAACUCAGUGUCGCAGCUAACGCAUUAAGUAUUCCACCUGGGGAGUACGAUCGCAAGGUUGAAACUCAAAGGAAUUGACGGGGGCCCGCACAAGCAGUGGAGCAUGUGGUUCAAUUCGAUGCAACGCGAAGAACCUUACCUAGGCUUGACAUGCUAGCUAAAGCCGGUGAAAGCCGGUGUCCAGCAAUGGGAGCUAGUACAGAUGC